rnacentral:rRNA from 1 species
AGCUCCAAUAGCGUAUAUUAAAGUUGUUGCAGUUAAAAAGCUCGUAGUUGGAUUUCUGGGUCAAGCUCCUGGUCCGCCGCUCCGCGGUGCCGACUGUGUGUAGCGUUGGCUCAUCCUUGUGGGAAAUUCAGUCCGGCGUUCAUUCGUCAGCUGUUGGAACCGCAUCUUUUACUGUAGAAAAAAUUGAGUGUUCAAAGCAGGCUUACGCUGUGAAUACAUUAGCAUGGAAUAAUAAGAUAGGACUUUGGUUCU